GAUGAACGCUGGCGGCGUGCCUAAUACAUGCAAGUCGAGCGAACGGACGAGAAGCUUGCUUCUCUGAUGUUAGCGGCGGACGGGUGAGUAACACGUGGAUAACCUACCUAUAAGACUGGGAUAACUUCGGGAAACCGUAGCUAAUACCGGAUAAUAUUUUGAACCGCAUGGUUCAAAAGUGAAAGACGGUCUUGCUGUCACUUAUAGAUGGAUCCGCGCUGCAUUAGCUAGUUGAUAAGGUAACGGCUUACCAAGGCAACGAUGCAUAGCCGACCUGAGAGGGUGAUCGGCCACACUGGAACUGAGACACGGUCCAGACUCCUACGGGAGGCAGCAGUAGGGAAUCUUCCGCAAAGGGCGAAAGCCUGACGGAGCAACGCCGCGUGAGUGAUGAAGGUCUUCGGAUCGUAAAACUCUGUUAUUAGGGAAGAACAUAUGUGUAAGUAACUGUGCACAUCUUGACGGUACCUAAUCAGAAAGCCACGGCUAACUACGUG
rnacentral:rRNA from 1 species